rnacentral:lncRNA from 1 species
GAACCACCACCACCGGAGAGAGACGUCACGUCUCCUCCGCCGACACAGCAUGCCCUACCACCUUCCCCCCGCCCCCGCCCCAGCGCGCGCCACGUCCAACCGCGCGGCCGGCUAUAAGUAGACGCACCACGCCGCCCAGAAACGCCGGCCAUUAGCCAGCUGCUAUAUCACCUGCUCCACUACUGUUACCCAUCGUCAAUCACCUUCCCAGUUGCUUUCUCUCCCCAUCGUCACCGUCGACGCGUACACCGGGCGGUGAGUUGGUCGUCUCCGGGGAGGAUCGAUCAAGAUGAGCGAUCCCAAGUACGCCUACCCCUACCCCGCGCAAGGUACGCGCGAGCUCACCCUCAUCUUGCUUGCUUGCUUGCUUGCUAUGGAGAGGAACCAGAAGAGGAUCCAUCCAAGAUGCGGCCGGGUUCCGUUUCUUCAUCAUCUUGAUGUUGAUGGUCUGUUUCUGGUUAUUUAUAUGCAGGUUACUACCAAGGGGGGCCAUACCAGGGGCAGGGCGGCCCGUACCAGGGGCCGCCGGUCAUGGCGCCGCCGCAGUACGCCGCGCCGCCGCCGCCGCGAGCCCAGCCCAGCUUCCUCGAGGGCUGGUACGUGCGUGCUUAAUUACCUUGUCCACGGCCACGGCUAACAAUCACCUGUCCCCAAGCUAGUGAUUGGCAAAAUUACUCACUCUGUGCUCUCUCAUUGUGCAUGCAGUUUGGCCGCGCUCUGCUGCUGCUGCCUGAUCGACGAGUGCUGCUGCGACCCCUCCAUCAUCUUCGUCGGGUAGAUCAGAUCAGCAUGCGUCAACUGUACAAAGAGACGAUGAUGGCCUCCUCAAGGAUAUUUACCACGUUGUUGCCACGCUAUAUAUGAUACUAUAUCUAAUAUAUUCGCUUAUUGUAACUCGAAUCCAUCAGUAACAAAAAGGCUUCACGAUCCUGCUAUCUUCCGUCCGUCUCCAUUUCCUCUGCGUGUAAAUUCGUUGCACUGUUACAAGUGCGCUCGUUCAUUGUGCCUCUGGUAGUACUGAUGAUUUGUGAUUAAUUAUUCUCUUUUAUUACUGUGGUUGGGUGGAAUGUGGAUACACGAUGGAGAUGUCUCUACACUGAACGAGAGUGAGAGUGAAAGGCAACGACAAUUUGCGAGAAUUUAUGCUAAAGCAAAUAUUAUCCUGCUAUAAAGCACAGGUGCUUGAGCAGAGAUUAAAGGGGAAAAAACAGGUGUAUCUCCUCUCCCCUAAUAAUAAUAAUAAUAAUAAUAUAUGAUAUAUAUAAUAAUAAAGCGCGCAGCGCUUCUCGUCCGGCGUCGGUCAUUUUACAGAAGCCCUCGCAGUUUUAGGUAAUUAAUCCGCGGUUUAAUUUUAAGUCAGCGUCGUCGGUCAUUUUACAGAAGCCCUCGCAGUUUCAGAACGAACCGUUUUUUUGUCAUUUUGCAGAAAAGUCCUCACAAUUUUAGAUAAUCAACCGCCCAUGCCCGUGCACCGGCGCAACAGAGGAGAAGAGAAGGCAUGCGCGCAGUGGGAACGGAACACACGGCUGGGAUGGGAUGGGGGAUCGCCGGCCAGCGCAAGGUGACCGUGCGCCGGGGGGAAUCAGGUGCCAAAACCUCGUUGCAAAGCAAAGCAAAGCAAAGGAGGUACUACUACCGAGGGGUUCGAUUCGGCGGCCCCUUUCGCGCGCUUUCGAGAUGCUUCCUCUUGGUCAGGCCUCCAACCGAACCACCACCACCGGAGAGAGACGUCACGUCUCCUCCGCCGACACAGCAUGCCCUACCACCUUCCCCCCGCCCCCGCCCCAGCGCGCGCCACGUCCAACCGCGCGGCCGGCUAUAAGUAGACGCACCACGCCGCCCAGAAACGCCGGCCAUUAGCCAGCUGCUAUAUCACCUGCUCCACUACUGUUACCCAUCGUCAAUCACCUUCCCAGUUGCUUUCUCUCCCCAUCGUCACCGUCGACGCGUACACCGGGCGGUGAGUUGGUCGUCUCCGGGGAGGAUCGAUCAAGAUGAGCGAUCCCAAGUACGCCUACCCCUACCCCGCGC